UACGUAGGGUGCGAGCGUUGUCCGGAAUUAUUGGGCGUAAAGGGCUCGUAGGCGGUUUGUCGCGUCGGGAGUGAAAUCCACUGGCUUAACUGGUGGCUUGCUUUCGAUACGGGCAGACUGGAGGUAUGCAGGGGAGAACGGAAUUCCUGGUGUAGCGGUGAAAUGCGCAGAUAUCAGGAGGAACACCGGUGGCGAAGGCGGUUCUCUAGUACGGUACUGACGCUGAGGUGCGAAAGCGUGGGGAGCAAACAGG
rnacentral:rRNA from 1 species